AUGACAUGUUUUUUUUUCCUCAAAAACAAUGCCUCCGCUCCAAAGAAAAAUCAGUGUCAAAAUAACGAGCUCAAGAUGCCAUCCUUACUUCUUGUAGGCUUCCUUUGUGAAGCUGGUUUCCUGCAGGUGAUGGUUCAGGACAAUAUCGAUACCAGUGAUUACUGUGCUUUCAGUACCUUCGCCCUCCGGCCCUUCAGCGGAGGCAUUUCCACCAAUGAGCGAGUCAUCAAUGUUACCCUCUGUCCUACCGACCAUCUUCCCCUCCACCUCCAGACACAGCCCGUCCGCGAUCUCCCGGAUCUGGUAUACGACGGAAAACAUCUCAUUGUGGCUGAUGAGGUCCCGGUAGAUGAUCAUGAUGGUGGCUGGAGGGAGACGAUGGCGGCGCUAGCUUAG
rnacentral:lncRNA from 1 species